rnacentral:rRNA from 1 species
AUGCAAAGCAAGAAUGUGAAUGUGAAUUACCUAUUACUUACCCGAAUUCGGAGCUCUCCAGGAGCGUUCGCAGAUCUGCCCCGCAGCGUGUCCGAUGCUGCCACUUUCUACAGGGCCGAGGAGGGGAGAUCGACGGAGAAGGUCUUCUGGUCCCAGUAUGCUGAGGCCGAACAUCCGGUGCCCCUCAGCGACCAGCUGAAGCAGCUGGUCGAGCUCCACAAGGUGGCCGAACAGGCCAUGAAGGGCCUCAUAGUUCGGCUGUGGCCCAAGGAGGGCAUGCCUGGGAGCUACUUUAGCUUGGUGCGGCGGCUGGUGGAUGCUUGUCCAUGGGUUGAAGUCAUCAAGCACUCCGCCUGCAUUGAAGGUGCCCGUCGGGCCCUUGCCCGUGCUAAGGUGCACUCGGGCAAGAUGGACGCUGAGAAGCUUGUGACGAACGCGCCACCGCCGGGCAAGGAGUAUCGCACGCCCGAGAUGUAUUAUAAGGGUGUCCUAAAGGGUGCCCGCAUUAUUGCGGGUGAGUGCUCCAAAGAUGUAAUAUUUGAGUAG